UAUUUUAUUAAUCGAAAAGUUUAGAUCUUAUAUUUCGUUGUUUAGAAGUAGGUGUUUAUCUUAGGUAAAGUUAAUUAAACGAUUUAUAAGAAGUGAUAAAUUAGUCGUUAAACUUUAUAUCUAUUUAGCUACUUUAUAAUAUUAAGUUAAGUUAUGGGUUAUGAUAUCCAUAAUUUAUUUACACUAUAAUUAAUUUUUAAUUUAAGAUUAGGUUAGAAUUACCUGUUUUUUAUAAGUUUGUUAAAAAUUUUGUUAUAUAAUGAGGUAGUUAAUGUUUUGUAGUAGCUUAAUGAAAUUUUUAGUAUACUAAUAAUCAUUGAAUAAGUAAUUAUAUUAUAUCAGUUAUUUCUCGAUAUUUUUCCGUCUGUUUAUUAAAAACAUUUCCAAUUUUAAUAAUAAUUGGUAUUACCUGCUCUAUGUUUCUAUAAAUGGCCGCAGUAUAUUGACUGUGCGAAGGUAGCAUAAUUAAUUGCCUUUUAAUUGAGGGCUUGUUUGAAUG
rnacentral:rRNA from 1 species